GUCUGCGUCUCUUCCUCGCAGCAGCCGCCCCCCCAGCCCGGCGGCCGCGGCCCGCGUGGACGCCCCGAGCGCCCCCCGACGGACGCCACCGGCUCACUGGCAGGCGGGCGAGCGUGCGGCCGCGCCCGGCCGGCAGCGCGGGGGUUAAGGGGCCCAAGUAAACGUAGCUCGGCGAUCGGCGCAGGAGAUUCGCGAGCCGAGCGCUCUGCUCGGCCGCCCGCCGGCCUCCCGCCAGCCUGCCCCGACCCGCGGCUCGACCGCGGAGCCGCGCCCGAGUCAGGCUCUCGGCAGGUGGCCAUUAAUGAGAAUUGGAGAUGAAGGGAGGCACCUCUUCUGGCCACUUCUUUCCUGCCUUCUUCCACCAAGGAAACAAUGAAGGGAGACACCAGACAACUCAACGGAGAGGAGGAUGCCAGCAGGAGGGAAGACUCCAUCAUCACCAAUGGGGGCUGCAGCGACCAGUCUUCCGACUCCAAGGACGCACCCUCGCCCCCGAUCCUGGAGGCUAUCAGCACCCCGGAGAUCAGAGGCCGCAGAUCAAGCUCUCGACUGUCCAAGAGGGAGGUCUCCAGCCUCCUAAGUUACACUCAGGAUUUGACGGGUGACGGAGACGGUGAAGGGGAGGAUGGAGAUGGCUCAGACACUCCAGUGAUGCCAAAACUCUUCCGUGAAACCAGGACUCGGUCUGAAAGUCCAGCGGUCCGAACCCGAAAUAACAACAGUACCUCCAGCCGGGAGAGGCACAGGCCCUCCCCACGGGCCACCCGAGGCCGGCAGGGCCGCCACCACGUGGACGAGUCCCCCGUGGAGUUCUCAGCUACCAGGUCCCUGCGGCGGCGAACCGCGUCAUCGGCAGGCACGCCGUGGCCGUCCCCUGCCAGCCCCUACCUCACCAUCGACCUCACAGAGGACGAUGUGGUGCCACAGAGCAGCAGUACGCCCUACGGCCGCCUGGCCCAGGACAGCCAGCAGGAGAGCAUGGAGUCCCCGCAGGUGGACACAGAGGAUAGGGAUGCAGACAGCUCAGAGUACCAGGAUGGGAAAGAGUUUGGAAUAGGGGAUCUUGUGUGGGGAAAGAUCAAGGGUUUCUCCUGGUGGCCUGCCAUGGUGGUGUCCUGGAAGGCCACGUCCAAGCGGCAGGCGAUGGCGGGCAUGCGGUGGGUCCAGUGGUUUGGCGAUGGCAAGUUCUCCGAGAUACCAGCUGAUAAGUUGGUGGCCUUGGGGUUGUUCAGCCACCACUUUAACCUGGCGACCUUCAAUAAACUGGUCUCGUACAGGAAGGCCAUGUACCACGCGCUGGAGAAAGCCAGGAUACGGGCUGGCAAGACCUUCCCCAGCAACCCUGGAGACUCAAUGGAGGACCAGCUGAAGCCCAUGUUGGAGUGGGCCCAUGGGGGCUUUAAGCCCACAGGGGUCGAGGGGCUCAAACCCAACAACAAGCAACCAGAGAGUAAGACUCGAAGACGCACAGCUGACGACUCGGCUACCUCUGACUACUGCCCCCCACCCAAGCGCCUCAAGACAAACUGUUACAAUAACGGAAAAGACCGAGGGGAUGAGGAUCAGAGUCGAGAGCAAAUGGCUUCAGAUGUGACCAACAAUAAGAGCAGUCUGGAAGACAGCUGUUUAUCCUGUGGUCGGAAAAAUCCCGUGUCUUUCCACCCUCUCUUUGAGGGUGGGCUCUGCCAGACAUGCAGGGACCGCUUCCUCGAGCUGUUCUACAUGUAUGACGAUGACGGCUACCAGUCGUACUGCACAGUGUGCUGCGAGGGCCGCGAGCUGCUCCUUUGCAGCAACACGAGCUGUUGCCGGUGCUUCUGCGUGGAGUGCCUGGAGGUGUUGGUGGGUGCGGGCACGGCAGCGGAUGCCAAGCUGCAGGAGCCCUGGAGCUGCUACAUGUGCCUUCCGCAGCGCUGCCACGGUGUCCUGCGUCGCCGCAAGGACUGGAGUGUGCGCCUGCAGGCCUUCUUCACCAGUGACCCGGGCCUCGAAUAUGAAGCCCCCAAGUUAUACCCUGCAAUUCCCGCAAACCGAAGGCGGCCCAUUCGAGUCUUGUCCCUGUUUGAUGGAAUUGCAACAGGGUACUUGGUCCUCAAAGAAUUGGGCAUCAAAGUGGAGAAAUACGUCGCCUCAGAAGUGUGUGAAGAGUCCAUCGCUGUUGGAACUGUUAAGCAUGAGGGCAACAUCAAAUAUGUGAAUGACGUCAGGAAUAUCACAAAGAAAAACAUUGAAGAGUGGGGCCCCUUUGACCUGGUGAUUGGUGGAAGCCCAUGCAAUGAUCUGUCAAAUGUGAACCCUGCCAGGAAAGGCCUGUAUGAGGGCACAGGUCGGCUCUUCUUUGAGUUCUACCACCUGCUGAAUUACACACGCCCCAAGGAGGGUGAUGACCGGCCUUUCUUCUGGAUGUUUGAGAAUGUGGUGGCCAUGAAGGUUGGAGACAAGCGGGACAUCUCUCGGUUCCUGGAGUGUAAUCCAGUGAUGAUUGAUGCCAUCAAAGUGUCUGCUGCUCACAGAGCCCGAUAUUUCUGGGGCAACCUGCCUGGGAUGAACAGGUAACGAGGGGCUUUGAGCGGGACAGGUAAUAGCCAAGUUAAAUUUUAUCGUGUGAGCCCUCACCGUCGGCUCUUAAGACAAAAACACUUUGGAGCCUUCUAGAAAGAAGUGGCUCUGCUGAGAAAGUGCCUCACCCCGGCCGACCAACCUCUGGUGAUAAGGUUGAAUUGAAGCCUGUUAGGCCAUAUAUAACCACUGCCCAAGAAUCUCAGGCUAGGAUUCUUCAGGUCGCUCUUUCUCUUUGUUUGUAGGAUUAGUUCUUAAAAAAGCCACUGUUGUCUUCUCAGCCAGGGACCCUACCUCUUCUCUGUGUUGCUUGCCAUCCUACUGGGAAAUGAACUACAUCUCCCUGCUCCUGAGAUGAAGCAAUCCCCGCAGCAGGCCUGUGGCCAUCAGAGCUCAGCUAACAAUUAGUGGCCCAAAGCCUGUCUCCCUUGGAUUUUCUUAACCACGAUUUUCCCCCAACUUUUCAUCAGUCUCAUGUUGAAAGCCACAAAGCACGUGUCUUUGCUGAGGAUUAAUUAGCUCUUCCGUGCUUCCGGGAGACCAACCUGCUAAUUAAGAUCCAAAAUAUGAUGGCAAUGUGACUUGCAAAUACGUUCCCUUCAAAAAAUUAUCCUUUAAAAAGGAAGCGUUGGAAGCAUAACUUUCAGGCAUUUUGCACCGUGUGGUCAGAGGUGAAAGGGUACUGGAUGGAAGAGCUCAGGAUUUCUGUAGGGGUAGAGAAGACAAGCAAUGAUUUCAGGGUCAGGGACGGAGGAGCCUUGGAAGAUUUGAUGGGGAAGCUGCCCUGUGAAGGAGUGGAGACAGGCAGUGGAGUGCAGAAGGGAGAGGUCAGGGCUGCUGGCCACAGGGCAUUUGAAGACACGCUAAGUGUUCCAAGGGUCAGGAGUGUGGGCGAGAAGAGGGCAGAGAACUUGUCUCUCUGCCAAAUUUAUGUGAUGUCUGUGGGUCAUCCAUAGCACCAUGUAAGUUUACUUUGGCCCCAGGUGUUUGUGGGAGCUUCUACACAGAUGGAGGUAUCUAGUCACAGGAUAAAGGCAGAAAUAUAUGGGGAGGCAGCCAAGGUGAGGGAGGAGAGCAAAUUGUCUUGUGCCCAACGGGUACCAUCCACAUGCAUGGAACACCCAGGGGAGUGGCAACUCCAGGAGGAUGUCCUGUGGACUUGAGAAGGGAACAGAUUCUUAAGAGUAGGGAUCAGAUUCUAUGGCUCUUCAAAGAAACAUAGGACCCACAGGAUUUGCUGAGAAUUGGAUGUAGGGUGUGAGAUGGAAGAGGAGGCAGCAGAGACUUUAAUGAGUUGGGAUGAGAAGUACCCUGCAGGAUGGGCAUGAAAUGGGUCAGAGCCAAAGCCAGCCUGUAGACCAAACACCCUGGAAUCAACAGAAGGGAGGGCAGGGCUGUGAAUCCCUAGCUUCCCUGGGUUCAUGGAAGAGUUGGGAAUGGAGAGAGGGUGGCAUUUGAAACCUGGAACGGGAGGUCAGAAUCUAGGGAGACAUUUAUGUUCAGUGUCCUCGCUUGUGGGUACCAUAUCCAGCCUUAUGUCUGUUUUGGCCUGGGGGUUCCUUACACAGGGAUGCUGUGGCCUUCACCAGCUCUGUGCCUUCAGACCUCUUGUUGGUUUUCCCUCGGGACCUGCUUAACCCCUUCAGUUCCUAAAGUUCUAUCCCUUCCCCUUCUCAAGCAUCUGUUUGCCUCUCUCUGCAUUUGUGAGUUUCAGUGGUAGGGAGUUACAAAGGGAAUUACAGUUCUUUUGUGAACCUUCUUUUCUUUCCUGGACACAUUAUUAAAGCAUCUUAAGGCUGCAUCCCCAGGAAGAAGCCACCAAAUCAUGGGUUUGAUGUGCUAGUUGUAACAAGUAGCAAGGAGAAGCAUUCACUUCUGGACAUUGGACUCCCCGUCCUCUCUGCCACCUCCCCAGCCCCUCACCAGGGGGCUUGUGUGUCCCUCGCACAGCCCACAGGCUUGGGCUCUUGCCAGGGCCAUUUUAAUCAUGUAUUUGUAGCAAGUUCACUGCCAGAGCACAUUUCGCAGCCUUGGGCCCUCCUACCUCGGGAGGUGCCUAGCCAAGGCCCCUUUCCCAUGGGCAGACUGUAAUGGGUUUUGGAUGUUCCCAGGCCUGUGAUAGCAUCAAAGAAUGAUAAACUCGAGCUACAGGACUGCUUGGAGUUCAAUAGGACAGCAAAGGUAAGAUGUGCUCUGUGCCUGGCUCACCAGGAAACACACUUGGUGAACUUGACCUUGGUGUCCAGUUUUUCCCUGCCCCUUCCCCCCACAUGACUCCCUGGUGCUGGGCAGCUUUCCCCACAUCAUUAUUCCAACCUCUGAGUAGGAGAGGUUCUUAAUCAACAAAAAUCACUGAGAAAAAGCAACUCGAUUUUUUCCAAUUGUGAAUGCAUACUCCAUAGAGACACAGACAACUCAUCUCAUUCUCCCAGUGAGAAAUGAGCAAUUAUACUUUCUCUAGCAAAAAGUAUAUGAUCUCUUGUUAAGUCAUAGAUAAUUCUCUUAAGAGCACCGUAAACUUAUUUUUCAAUAUUUUCAUCACGCUAAGCUCCAUUCAUUGAAACCCUGUUUGGCCAUUCUCCACAAUCUGAGUGGACUUGUUUACUUUUGCGGAAUCUCCAUCAAUAACUCUGUAACUCUGUUUUCUGGCCCCUUGCGCCCCCCUCCCGCCAUGGGAUCUCAUUCGUAGUCACUUUUUUUUUUAUCUCUUGUUCUCUCUGAGGCUGGUCUUUCCUGUUCCUUUACUUCUUGGUGUUUGUGGAAAGCACAGCGUGUUCUUGCAGAGCUCUCCUUGCCUUGUGCUCCUCGCCUGGCUCUCUCCCUCCCCCACCUGCCCUCCCUCCUCCACCUUCCCUAGGUGCUUCUCAGCCUUGACCUAGAACCCUUCCUUCUGCGCUCACUCCAUGAUGUUGUUUUGUUCUCCAGUUAAAGAAAGUACAGACAAUAACCACCAAGUCGAACUCGAUCAGACAGGGGAAAAACCAACUUUUCCCUGUUGUCAUGAAUGGCAAAGAAGAUGUUUUGUGGUGCACUGAGCUAGAAAGGAUCUUCGGCUUUCCUGUACACUACACAGAUGUCUCCAACAUGGGCCGGGUGGCCCGCCAGAAGCUGCUCGGUCGGUCCUGGAGUGUACCUGUCAUCCGACACCUCUUCGCCCCCCUGAAGGACUACUUUGCCUGUGAAUAGUUCCCCAGGCACCAGGGCCUGUGGGCAGAGCCACAACCCAGGAGGUGACCCAGGCUGUGCCCAUCCUCAGUGCCGCCAUGUAACGUGGGUUCAUGCCGAGUACCUAGUCGAGAGCAGAGCCACCUUGCCCCUCCUGGCAGGGGGGGCCCCCUCCCGGAGGUGCCACCUCCUUGUGCACAAUUCAGACCUGGCUGCUUGGAGCAGCCAAGCCCGGUGCUCAUUUUAUCUUCUAAAACUUUAAGACUUGAAGUAGGUAGUACGAUGGCUUUUUUUCCCCCUCCUGGGUUUACCUCUCAGAAAAAUGAUGGCUAAGUUACCAAAACCACAGUGCCGACAGCUCUUCAAUACUCAGGUUAAUGCUGAAAGUUACCCAAGACAGUUACUGCAAGACUUUAAUUUCUUAGAUAUCUGCAGCUCCUUAUUUCCAGGAGUGCAGCAGGUGACAUGUAGCGGAGGGCCCAGGAUAGUUUAUUCUUCUAGGGCCAGCAGAAAAAGACAUGAUGCCCAUGUCUUGAAUUUUCCCCGGCUGGGUCUCCUGGCCUCAGCCGGGAACCGGGGCCCAGUUAGACUAUUUUCCACAAGGAUGAUGGUUUCAGCAGGGAUGACAUCAUCAUCAUCACAUUCAGGGCUAUUUUUUCCCCAUAAACCCAAGGGCAGGACUACCCUUAGCUAACUCUCUCCCAGUGACUGCAAUAGAACCCUCUGGAAGCUCAGGAAGGGGUGGGCUGGGUCAUAAGCCGCCAUAUAUUGUGUAGGCAGGUAUGGCUUCUCUCCAUCUCCCCGGAUGUGUGAGGGGAGAGGGGGAGGAGGAGGCGGCUUAGGUAAGCCCCCCCCCGCCCCAUGCACCCUCCAGACAGGCAGGCACAGGUUAGAAGUAUGACGCCCUCGUUCCCCAGCCUUUUCUCAAGGCAGCAGCAGUGACAGCCAGGGGCAGAAGCACAUUCCUCACACUUUGCCCUCAACUAAGAGACUGUAGGGGGGAAAACUGCAAUAAAACCUCGACCCUCCCUCCAGAGAUUUUUAAAUCCCAUUUUUAUUCCAUGAUAAAUCGUCUUUUAGGAGGUUGGACAAGCUGCAUUUCAGAAAUGCUGUCAUAAUGGUUUUUAACACCUUUUACUCUUCUUACUGGUGCUAUUUUGUAGAAUAAGGAACAGGUUUUGACAGGUUUUGUGGGAGUUUUUUUAUACACUUUUUAAAACAAAUCUCAGACAUCUAUUUUUGUUUUAAGAUUUUCAUAAAAAUUUUUUUUGUAACUGGAGCCACAUAACAAGUUUGGGGGAAAAUUGUGCCUUGUUUCAACAGUUUUGCUAAUUUUUAGGCUGAAAGAUGACAGAUGCCUAGAGUUUACCUUAUGUUGAAUUAAAAUCAGUAUUUCUCUAACA